AAGCGAGGAAACCCAAGCACAUCACAAUCAGAGACAACCUGUUCACAUCCAGAAACAAGUGUCAGGUCAUGUUAACGUUCGCCAUGGAAAUUAGUCCAUAUGCCAAACUCCUGCUCAAUGCCAUGAAGAACUCCGGCUGGUACGUUGGCCUACACGGCUGUCUAUAACCGGAAACGACAUGUUAACGUCAACUGUAACAUAGAUAGGAUGCAAAAUACAAAAGUUACUUCUACUGCUUUUUUUUUACUAAACAAUAUUUAAAUCAUCAGUGAACGUUCAGUCACAUUUGCUUCUACGAAUGUAAUUAUUGUAUAAUGCCGAUGUGUAUUUCCGAAAAGUCACUAAAUAUAGCAAUAAUGUUGCUAAGUUGGCAAUAGUGGGAUGACUAAUGUUAAACGCACGUGCAGACUGACCCAGAUAUUACUUCCACUAUAUUUCACAAAUACCAAAUUUUCCCCCAGAAAACUUGCUGAGCGCGGUGGUUGGGUGCUAAGGCAGUCAUUCAUUCAGUGGCCCGUCGUGGUUUUGAGUUAAAAAAAUGUUGACAAGAAAUUUUAAAAUAUCACUUGAUAAUUAUGUGCUAUUAAACGAUUGGAUGAUUAAUACCUGGACACCAACUACAAAAGUCUUUAAAAAAAUCAAACCUUUUUGAAAAAGACUUUAAAAAAUAAGUAAAGCCUGAUGGGCCACUAGGCUUAAAAUACUGGAAGGGAAAACCUGAAUAUGAUACAUUUUUGGUUAAUGUUUU